UUGCUCUUCAACGAGGAAUGCCUAGUAAGCGCAUGUCAUCAGCAUGCGUUGAUUACGUCCCUGCCCUUUGUACACACCGCCCGUCGCUACUACCGAUUGAAUGGCUCAGUGAGGCCUUCGGACUGGCUCGAGGAGGUUGGCAACGACCACCUCAAGCCGGAAAGUUGGUCAAACUCGGUCAUUUAGAGGAAGUAAAAGUCGUAACAAGGUUUCCGUAGGUGAACCUGCGGAAGGAUCAUUACCUUUGGCUGCCGUGAGCGCUUCGGCGUGAGCGACAGUCAUUCUAUAGCGAUGCCUCCGUGUCCGGGAAACCGGCGCGGGGCUGACCUAACCCUUCUCUACGAGUACCUAUUAUUCUCCUUCGGCGGGGUCUACCCGCCGCUGGAACUUCAAGAACCAACUUGCAUUUAGCAUUACCUGUUCUGAUAACAAUUAAUUAUUACAACUUUCAACAAUGGAUCUCUUGGCUCUGGCAUCGAUGAAGAACGCAGCGAAAUGCGAUAAGUAGUGUGAAUUGCAGAAUUCAGUGAAUCAUCGAAUCUUUGAACGCACAUUGCGCCCCUUGGUAUUCCAUGGGGCAUGCCUGUUCGAGCGUCAUCUACACCCUCAAGCACUGCUUGGUGUUGGGCGUCUGUCCCGCCUUCGCGCGUGGACUCGCCCCAAAGUCAUUGGCAGCGGUCUCUGGCACCUCAACGCGCAGUACAAUGCGUUCAUUGGGGUGCCGUGGGCGCGUCCAUAAGCUAUUUACCGUCUUUGACCUCGGAUCAGGUAGGGAUACCCGCUGAACUUAAGCAUAUCAAUAAGCGGAGGA
rnacentral:rRNA from 1 species